rnacentral:rRNA from 1 species
GUGAGGGAUAUUGGUCAAUGGGCGCAAGCCUGAACCAGCGACGCCGCGUGGGUGAAGAAGGUCUUCGGAUCGUAAAGCCCUUUUCCCACUGAAGAGGAAGGACGGUAGGUGGGGAAGAAGUCUCGGCUAACUACGUGCCAGCAGCCGCGGUAAUACGUAGGGGGCAAGCGUUGUCCGGAUUUACUGGGUGUAAAGGGCGCGCAGGCGGAAUGGAAAGUCAGUGGUGAAAUCCUACAGCUUAACUGUAGAACUGCCUUUGAUACUUUCAUUCUUGAGUUCGGGAGAGAGAGACGGAAUUCCAGGUGUGGUGGUGAAAUACGUAGAUAUCUGGAAGAACACCAGUUGCGAAGGCGGUCUCUUGGUCCGAUACUGACGCUGAGGCGCGAAAGCGUGGGGAGCAAACA